UACAGAGGUGGCAAGCGUUGUUCGGAAUUACUGGGCGUAAAGGGCGCGUAGGCGGUCUUGUAAGUCUUGUGUGAAAUUCCUCGGCUUAACUGAGGAACUGCACGGGAUACUGCGAGACUUGAGAUCGGGAGAGGGAAGCGGAAUUCCGGGUGUAGCGGUAAUAUGCGUAGAUAUCGGGAGGAACACCAGUGGCGAAGGCGGCUCUCUGGGGUAUUUCUGACGCUGAGGCACGAAAGCCAGGGGAGCGAACGGG
rnacentral:rRNA from 1 species